rnacentral:rRNA from 1 species
GUUAAAAAGCUCGUAGUUGGAUUUCUGUCGAGGAUGACCGGUCCGCACUUUGUGCGUGCAUCUGGUUCAGCCUUGGCAUCCUCCUGGGGAACGUAUCUGCGCUUAAUUGCGUGGUGCGGUAUUCAGGACUUUUACUUUGAGGAAAUUAGAGUGUUCACGGCAGGCAAUCGCCUUGAAUACAUUAGCAUGGAAUAAUAAUAUAGGACCUUGGUCCCAUUUUGUUGGUUUCUGGAACUAAGGUAAUGAUUAAUAGGGAUAAUUGGGGGCAUUCGUAUUAACGUGUCAGAGGUGGAAUUCUUGGAUUACGUUACGACGAACUACUGCGAAAGCAUUUGCCAAGGAUGUUUUCAUUGAUCAAGAACGAAAGUUCGGGGAUCGAAGAUGAUUAGAUACCAUCGUAGCCCGAACCAUAAACUAUGCCAACUAGAGAUGGGCGAUCGUUAUUUUUUUGACUUCGUCCGCACCUUAUGAGAAAUCAAAGUCUUUGGGUUCCAGGGGGAGUAUGGUCGCAAGGCUGAAACUUAAAGGAAUUGACGGAAGGGCACCACCAGGAGUGGAGCCUGCGGCUUA